UGGGGAAUAUUGCACAAUGGGCGCAAGCCUGAUGCAGCCAUGCCGCGUGUGUGAAGAAGGUCUUCGGGUUGUAAAGCACUUUCAGCGGGGAGGAAGGCGAUAAGGUUAAUAACCUUGUCGAUUGACGAUACCCGCAGAAGCAGCACCGGCUAACUCCGUGCCAGCAGCCGCGGUAAUACGGAGGGUGCAAGCGUUAAUCGGAAUUACUGGGCGUAAAGCGCACGCAGGCGGUCUGUCAAGUCGGAUGUGAAAUCCCCGGGCUCAACCUAGGAACUGCAUUCGAAACAGGCAGGCUAGAGUCUUGUAGAGGGGGGUAGAAUUCCAGGUGUAGCGGUGAAAUGCGUAGAGAUCUGGAGGAAUACCGGUGGCGAAGGCGGCCCCCUGGACAAUGACUGACGCUCAGGUGCGAAAGCGUGGGGAGCAAACAGG
rnacentral:rRNA from 1 species